UGCAUUUUUUUAUGUUGAACUAUUUUGUACAUUGUAUGUGCAUUUCAUUCUCUUUGUUUAUAUAGCAAAUGAAAUCCAAGGCAUCUCCCUCAAAUUCAUCUUUACAUAGUGUCAAAGAAUCUGUAAACAUAUCUUUGAGUUGAAGAGCAAUUAUUGUGAACUCUUGGUACUAUGAUUUCAUGAUCUCAUAACAAUGGUUGUCUUGUUUUUGUUCCUUUUUCCUGAAGGCUAUAAAGCAACUGCUAAGGUUUAAUGCUGAUAAUCCGGAUUCACAUUGCUGCUUGAUCAAAUUUUUCCACAAAGUGGGCUCAAUGCCUGCUCCAGUGACUGAUGCAGAAAAACUUGUGUGCAGCGUCCUAGAAGCUGAGCGCCCCUCCAUCAGUCAACUGCAGGAGAAAAAAAUUUCCUUGGUAAUCAUGAAGAUACUUUGAUGCAUAGAGCGGCAGUUGCAGAAAUGUUGUAUACCUUGGAUCCUACCAAGAAACUUGAGGCUGUUAAGUUAAUUGAAGAUUCAUCCAAUAAAGUUGUGCCAACGAAUGGAGCACUGGGACCAGUAAUGGAGUGGAAACUCAAAGACUGUAUUGCUGGUGCAAAC